rnacentral:rRNA from 1 species
GACGAACGCUGGCGGCGUGCUUAACACAUGCAAGUCGAACGAUGAAGCGGUGCUUGCACCGUGGCUUAGUGGCGAACGGGUGAGUAAUACGUGAGUGACCUACCUUUUACUCUGGGAUAAGCCUGGGAAACUGGGUCUAAUACCGGAUACGACCAAUCUCUGCAUGGGGUGUUGGUGGAAAGCGUUAUGGUGUGGUUUUAGAUGGGCUCACGGCCUAUCGGCUUGUUGGUGAGGUAAUGGCUUACCAAGGCGACGACGGGUAGCCGGCCUGAGAGGGUGACCGGCCACACUGGGACUGAGACACGGCCCAGACUCCUACGGGAGGCAGCAGUGGGGAAUAUUGCACAAUGGGCGCAAGCCUGAUGCAGCGACGCCGCGUGAGGGAUGACGGCCUUCGGGUUGUAAACCUCUGUUAGCAUCGAAGAAGCGAAAGUGACGGUAGGUGCAGAGAAAGCGCCGGCUAACUACGUG